rnacentral:SRP_RNA from 1 species
AGCACACCUGUCUUUCCAGCUGCUCCAGAGGCUGAGGCAGGAGGAUCAUUUGAGUCAGGAGUUCCGGGCUGUAGUGCUUUAUGCCGAGCCAGUGUUUACACUAAGUUUGGCAUCACUGUGAUAUCCUCCUGGGAGACAGGGAAACACUGGGUUGCCUAAGGAACGGUGAACCAGCCCAGGUCAGAAAUGGAGCAGGUCAAAGCUCCCAUGCUAAUCAGUGAACAGUCACUGCACUCCAGCCUAGGCAACACAGUGACACCAAGUCUCU